rnacentral:rRNA from 1 species
CUACGUGCCAGCAGCCGCGGUAAUACGGAAGGUCCAGGCGUUAUCCGGAUUUAUUGGGUUUAAAGGGAGCGUAGGCCGUGGAUUAAGCGUGUUGUGAAAUGUAGACGCUCAACGUCUGAAUUGCAGCGCGAACUGGUUCACUUGAGUAUGCACAACGUAGGCGGAAUUCGUCGUGUAGCGGUGAAAUGCUUAGAUAUGACGAAGAACUCCGAUUGCGAAGGCAGCUUACGGGAGCACAACUGACGCUGAAGCUCGAAGGUGCGGGUAUCAAACAGGAUUAGAUACCCUGGUAGUCCGCACAGUAAACGAUGGAUGCCCGUUGUUAGUUCACUUAAGAAUUAGCGACCAAGCGAAAGCAUUAAGCAUCCCACCUGGGGAGUACGCCGGCAACGGUGAAACUCAAAGGAAUUGACGGGGGCCCGCACAAGCGGAGGAACAUGUGGUUUAAUUCGAUGAUACGCGAGGAACCUUACCCGGGCUUGAAUUGCAGACGAACGAUUCAGAGA